AGAGGAAAUUGGAAACAUGGCCAGCAGUGUGCCUUAUGGUUCAUAACAGCCCCAAAUUGUGACUGUUUAUUAAAACUAACACCCUUUUGUGAGGGUGUGGAUCAAAAUAUCCAGUGGUUUCUCUUCUUUGAUUCUCCUUUUCCUUUUUUAUGGCACUGAGUUUAAGUUUCAGUUUUAGGUUUUAAUUAGGUUUCUGAAAUUGUUUUAGACUAAAAUAUUGAUAUAAAGAAAGCACCUUGCCCAUAAUUUGGCCGCAUCAAGUAUUUCCAUCAUCUUUCAGUCAGUAGAAGAUGUGCAUGGGAGGAUUGCCUUUUGGGCCACUGGGACAGGAAAGAGUUAAAGCAGGUGAAGGAAGGGAAGACUGAGGUGGCCAGAGAACUGCCUCACAAAAUACAAUUAAGGGCCUUUCCCAGGCCUGGGGCGCUCUGGUGCUGCCAGGGGAAAGGAGGACAGAGUACAAUGUUCUCCUUGUCCACAUACCUCCCUUUUGUUUCAGCAGCACUUUGGCUCCCACGCAUGCAAAAGUUUGAAUUUCCUGUUGGCUCUGAGACGAAACAACAGAGCCCCAGAGAGGUGAUUUUUCAUAUUUUUAUCUUACUAAUGGAUUAAGGAAAAUUCUGGUGACUAGAACCUGGAUCUCCCAAUUCCUCAUUUUCUUCAUUAUUUUGUACAAUUUUUGUCAUCGGUCACACAUUUACUGAGUACUUACUAUGUGCCAAGCACCGUAUUGAUGGAGUCUUCUGUUGCUAUAAUUGUAUCCUGAGUAUAGCAAUGAAGAGAAAUAGAAGGUCAUGUGUGUGCUUACUAUGUGUCAUAAUGGGUGUCUUUGUUUUCUAAAAUUUACCAAAAUUAAAUUCUGAAGUCCUGCAUCAAUCUAUUUCUACCAAAAUAUAGGACAGAUUUUCUCCUUGGCCCUGACCACAUUCUACAUUUCUCAGAGGCCAAGGUGGCCUUGGCGGCUGCAGGAGCUGUGCAGGCAGCCGGAGUCUCACUGCUGCUCCAGGUGGGCCUCUAGUUCACUUUGGCAGCUGUGUAACAAUGCCGAAAUCAUACAGCUGCCAGGCCCCACCUGAAUUAGAGCUGACCUUAAGAUGGAUUCUGUAAACCGUUUAAAUAG
rnacentral:lncRNA from 1 species